CAAUGGGAAUGGGGCGCAGCCUGAUCAGCCAUGCCGCGUGAGUGAUGAAGGCCUUAGGGUUGUAAAGCUCUUUCGGCGGGGACGAUAAUGACGGUACCCGCAGAAGAAGCCCCGGCUAACUUCGUGCCAGCAGCCGCGGUAAUUA
rnacentral:rRNA from 1 species